GGAUCAAUAUCUCGGUCAUGCCGUUGGUAUGCACUGUUAUCAUUGAUUUCUCACCUUCUAAAGAACCGUAAUGCCAUUAAUUUGGUGUUACGGGGAAUUAGGACUGUUACCUUGAAAAAUUAGAGUGUUUAAAGCAGGCUCACGCUUGGAUACAUUAGCAUGGAAUAAUGAAAUAGGACAUCCGAUUCUAUUUUGUUGGUUUCUAGGAUCGAUGUAAUGAUUAAUAGGGAUAGUUGGG
rnacentral:rRNA from 1 species